CUUUGCAGGAGUGAUUGGCCUGGGGAAGCAGGGUCCUGCGGCGUUUCCUCGUUUGAGCAUCCGACAGGCUGGAAGCCACGGCUUAGCUCAGCAGGCGGCCCAGCGUUCAGCUGUUUUAUCCAGGAGGGCACAGCACAGAUGCCAGCCUUGCCCGGCUUGACCUGCCACUGUGGUCUGGACCCCAAGCCUCAACCACAGCAUGACGGACAGUACCGUCCACCCCUUCCUAGAGCUGCUGGAGAUGCUGCUGCCUGCCGGGCCCCUCCACCCUCUCACCAUGGACUGAAGACUGGCCUCGCCCCUCUGUGGGCACCAACCACAUGACAACGCCGGGCUCUGUGUGAGCCCCUGACUCUGGCCAUUCUGGACCUGGCACCUCUGGAGUCACUGUGGCUAACUCCUCCCCGCUCACCCCAGCAGCCACCAGUGACCCCUACACCGGUAGCCUGGCUGGUGCCCUCGCAAUGCCCACUCCCUACCUCUCUGCCCGUGCUCUGCCCACCCCUGGUGUGGCACUGGCUAGGUGUGAGCCUGGUGCCAGUGUCUAAAUGUCCAUCACUCUUAGACCAAAACCAUUGUUUUGUGUACUUAUUUGUGACAGGGGAGAGAUGGGGUAGGGGGAAAGUUGAGCCCCUUUUCCUAGCUCCUCAAGCAUCAAUCAGUCCAGUGGCUGGCCCUGGACCCUUUGCCAGGUCACCUGGGGUCAGCACAGGCCAGGGGCACAGCCCUUGCAGUUUGUGGCGGAGGAACAAGCAGCAUGUCCCUGGCUGGCCUGUCCACCUGGGGAGCAGGGGAAAGCAUCUCCCUGCCUGCUCUGUUGGGUGGGGGCAGGGCAGCACUGCUGUGGUUAGAAAGAGCCCAGUCUCAGGGACUAUCUACUUGAGCAAAGACAAGCUGCAAUUAGGCGCCUCCAGGAGAGCCCCCUCCCUGGACUGGGUCUCCCCAUGUGGUGCUGGAGCUAGGGUGGGGGGCACAGGUUGCAAGCAGGGCCCCUCUGGCCCUUCCCCCAC
ensembl:lncRNA